rnacentral:rRNA from 1 species
GACGGGGGGGGGCUAGUGUUAUUCGGAAUGACUAGGCGUAAAGGGCACGUAGGCGGUGAAUCCGGUUGAAAGUGAAAGUCGCCAGCUCAACUGGCGGAAUGCUUUUCAAAAACCAAUUCACUUGAGUAAGAUAGAGGAUAGUAGAAUUUUCGUGUGUAGAGAUAAAAAUUUCACAGAUAUACGAAAGGAACACCAAAAAAGCGAAAGGCAGCUUUUCUGGGUCUCUACUGACGCUGAGGUGCGAAAAGCAUAGGGGAGCAAAACAGG